rnacentral:rRNA from 1 species
CCUACGGGAGGCAGCAGUGAGGAAUAUUGGUCAAUGGGCUUACGCCUGAACCAGCCAAGUCGCGUGAGGGAAGACUGCCCUAUGGGUUGUAAACCUCUUUUGUCAGGGAGCAACGCCGGCUACGUGUAGCCGGACUGAGAGUACCUGAAGAAAAAGCAUCGGCUAACUCCGUGCCAGCAGCCGCGGUAAUACGGAGGAUGCGAGCGUUAUCCGGAUUUAUUGGGUUUAAAGGGUGCGUAGGCGGAAUGCCAAGUCAGCGGGAAAAUCGCGGGGCUCAACCUCGCUCCGCCGUUGAAACUGGCGUUCUUGAGUGGGCGGGAAGUAUGCGGAAUGCGUGGUGUAGCGGUGAAAUGCAUAGAUAUCACGCAGAACUCCGAUUGCGAAGGCAGCAUACCGGCGCCCAACUGACGCUGAAGCACGAAAGCGUGGGUAUCGAACAGGAUUAGAUACCCUUGUAGUC